rnacentral:rRNA from 1 species
UACGAAGGGGGCUAGCGUUGUUCGGAGUUACUGGGCGUAAAGGGCGCGUAGGCGGCGCAUCAAGUCAGGCGUGAAAGCCCUGGGCUCAACCCGGGAAUUGCGCUUGAGACUGGUGUGCUUGAGUACGGGAGAGGAUAGUGGAAUUCCCAGUGUAGAGGUGAAAUUCGUAGAUAUUGGGAAGAACACCGGUGGCGAAGGCGGCUAUCUGGACCGUAACUGACGGCUGAGGCGCGAAAGCGUGGGGAGCAAACAGG